GAGACAGCCUUCUGGGGCAAGACUUGCUUCAGUGGGGCUUUGGUGCUCACUGAGUCUUCCCCCUGAGUGUGUCCCU
rnacentral:pre_miRNA from 1 species